UACAGAGGGUGCAAGCGUUAAUCGGAGUUACUGGGCGUAAAGGGCACGUAGGCGGUCGAAUAGGUCAGUUGUGAAAUCCCCGGGCUUAACCUGGGAACUGCAAAUGAUACUGUUAGACUAGAGUCGAAGAGAGGGAAGUGGAAUUUCCGGUGUAGCGGUGAAAUGCGUAGAUAUCGGAAGGAACAUCAGUGGCGAAGGCGACUUCCUGGCUUCAGACUGACGCUGAGGUGCGAAAGCGUGGGUAGCGAACAGG
rnacentral:rRNA from 1 species